rnacentral:rRNA from 1 species
UUUGCGUCGAAGGUAUACCGGUAAGGAGUGCUGGAGCGAAUAGAAGUGAGCAUGCAGGCAUGAGUAGCGAUAAUUAAUGUGAGAAUCAUUAACGCCGUAAACCCAAGGUUUCCUACGCGAUGCUCGUCAUCGUAGGGUUAGUCGGGUCCUAAGUCGAGUCCGAAAGGGGUAGACGAUGGCAAAUUGGUUAAUAUUCCAAUACCAACAUUAGUGUGCGAUGGAAGGACGCUUAGGGCUAAGGGGGCUAGCGGAUGGAAGUGCUAGUCUAAGGUCGUAGGAGGUUAUACAGGCAAAUCCGUAUAACAAUACUCCGAGAACUGAAAGGCUUUUUGAAGUCUUCGGAUGGAUAGAAGAACCCCUGAUGCCGUCGAGCCAAGAAAAGUUUCUAAGUUUAGCUAAUGUUGCCCGUACCGUAAACCGACACAGGUGGGUGGGAUGAGUAUUCUAAGGCGCGUGGAAGAACUCUCUUUAAGGAACUCUGCAAAAUAGCACCGUAUCUUCGGUAUAAGGUGUGGUUA